rfam:Dipodomys ordii contig_28752, whole genome shotgun sequence.
GGGAAGGUGGCUGAAUGGUAGAGUGCUUGCCUUGCAUGCAUGAGGCCCUGGGUUUGAUUCCUCAUUACCA